GACGAACGCUGGCGGCAGGCCUAACACAUGCAAGUCGAGCGAGCGGCGGACGGGUGAGUAAUGUAUGGGGACUGCCCGAUAGAGGGGGAUAACUACGGGAAACGGUGGCUAAUACCGCAUACUAUCGGAUAACCCAUAUGGGAUUAGCUAGCAGGUGGGGUAAAGGCUCACCUAGGCGACGAUCUCUAGCUGGUCUGUGAGGAGGAUCAGCCACACUGGGACUGAGACACGGCCCAGACUCCUACGGAGGCAGCAGUGGGGAAUAUUGCACAAGGGGCGCAAGCCUGAGGCAGCCAUGCCGCGUGUAUGAAGAAGGCCGUAGGGUUGUAAAGUACUUUCAGCGGGGAGGCGUUGUCCUCAGAAGAAGCACCGGCUAACUCCGUGCCAGCAGCCGCGGUAAUAC
rnacentral:rRNA from 1 species